rnacentral:rRNA from 1 species
GACGAACGCUGGCGGCGUGCUUAACACAUGCAAGUCGAACGGUGAUGCCCCAGCUUGCUGGGGUGGAUGAGUGGCGAACGGGUGAGUAACACGUGAGCAACCUGCCCCAGACUCUGGGAUAAGCGCUGGAAACGGCGUCUAAUACUGGAUACGAAACUGGCCCGCAUGGGCAUGGUUUGGAAAGUUUUGCGGUUUGGGAUGGGCUCGCGGCCUAUCAGCUUGUUGGUGGGGUAAUGGCUCACCAAGGCGACGACGGGUAGCCGGCCUGAGAGGGCGACCGGCCACACUGGGACUGAGACACGGCCCAGACUCCUACGGGAGGCAGCAGUGGGGAAUAUUGCACAAUGGGCGAAAGCCUGAUGCAGCGACGCCGCGUGAGGGAUGACGGCCUUCGGGUUGUAAACCUCUUUCAGCAGGGAAGAAGCGAAAGUGACGGUACCGGCAGAAGAAGCACCGGCUAACUACGUG